rnacentral:rRNA from 1 species
AGAGUUUGAUCAUGGCUCAGGACGAACGCUGGCGGCGUGCUUAACACAUGCAAGUCGAGCGGAAAGGCCCUUCGGGGUACUCGAGCGGCGAACGGGUGAGUAACACGUGAGUAACCUGCCCUUGGCUUUGGAAUAACCCUCGGAAACGGGGGCUAAUGCCGAAUACUUACUCCCGGACGCAUGUCCGGUUGUAGAAAGUUUUUCGGCCAGGGAUGGACUCGCGGCCUAUCAGCUGGUUGGUGAGGUAACGGCCCACCAAGGCGACGACGGGUAGCCGGCCUGAGAGGGCGACCGGCCACACUGGGACUGAGACACGGCCCAGACUCCUACGGGAGGCAGCAGUGGGGAAUAUUGCACAAUGGGCGAAAGCCUGAUGCAGCGACGCCGCGUGAGGGAAGACGGCCUUCGGAUUGUAAACCUCUUUCAGCUCCGACGAAGCGAAAGUGACGGUACCUGCAGAAGAAGGUCUGGCCAACUACGUGCCAGCAGCGGCGGUAAUAC